rnacentral:tRNA from 1 species
GUGGAUAUGGCGAAGUGGUUAACGCACCGGAUUGUGGCUCCGGCACUCGUGGGUUCAAGUCCCAUUAUCCACCCCA